CUUUUCAUAAUUUCUCCAGGCACCGCUGAAUUUAGCGUAACUAUGUUCGCCAUUUAUAUAUGAAGGCAACCAAAAACUGUUGACCAAUAGCGUAGCAGUAUUGACCAACAUUACGUCAUAUAUUGGACGCGGGAAAGUUCUUCGCGCUUUGAGCUGCCAAAGUUUCUUGUGUUUUUAUUUUCUGUUUCUUACUUUCUUUGUUUUCUUUUAUUUUCUUAUGAAUUUGACUAAAACUAACUUCACUGUGAUAGCUAGCUAGCAUAGCUGAGUGUAAAAACAGUUUUUCUUAUUUGACGCCUUAUUAUUCUCUUGGUCAAGGUCAUAGCUUUCAAUUUAACAGCUUUUACUACUGUAUAUUGUCAUGGUUGAAAUAUGGUUGUUUGAAUUGCACAAAAUACUGGAAUCUUAAUGUGUGUGUGUUUUCUGGUCCAAAUUUGCAUUUUUGCACAGAAUCAUGCACAUUUCUUGUGCACUUAAUGCUCAUCUGUCAUUGCUUGAUGUCAGACAUUAGAAACCAGCUUGAUACAGCAAGCUUACAUUUAUUGACUCACCACAAAAAAUAUAACCUUCCCUUGAAGUGAGAAUAGUAUUACAAUUUUAACUAUAUGUCUAUUGAUCAAAUUGGAUCAAAUACAGCGUUUUCGAAAACAAUAUCACCAAACUAUCUUGCUAAUUUCCCAAUGAUACUGUUCUGCCCAAUCUUGAAACGGCCCCCGUCUUAGCCAAAUCUGGCCUGGUCAAUUCAACAGUACUGGCAAAUUCGUUUUUGAUGUACAUACCCCAAAUAUAUUUUUUUUAAUGUGCCUGAGAAUGUUUGUAGGGUCUUGCAAACAACAGAGCUUGUGUGUCACAUCCAUGGUCUCCUGCCUAAUCUUUUGACGAACUGGGCAUUUUUAUGUCCAAAUAUUGGGCAGUCUCCUAAGAUUGGGCAGAACAAUACUAUCACAGUAUAUCUGAAUUAUGUUUUCCGUCAAAUUUAAGCAAAUCUUGUUUUGAUUGAUAAAUUAAUGUUGUCAUAAAUUAUUUGAUUUUCUGACUUGGUAGUUUGUGGGAUGCUCAGAUAUAGUAACGAUGUUUUACUACAAUAAAAAAGUAUAUGUUUUGCUUAAUUUUUUAAACAAAUGUAUAGUCUUUUCCUUGCAAAACUAGGAGUUUCUUUAAAUACAGUAAACUCUCCUGAAUCUCUUUCGGUAAGUUGCACCCCGCUAUGUAUUCCUGACCCACUCACACAUUUAAUUAAUCAUUUUGUAAAUUAUUGUGGUUGGUUCUAUUCAGCUGAGACAUGAUUGCCGCAACUACAAACACCCUGAAAUAUCUAUGUAUAUAUAUGUUAAAAAAAGUUGAUUAUGGUAAUAGGUUUUCAUGUGAAACAGAACAAUAUAUUAUGGUCCAUGUUUAGCAUAUUUAAAUCUUUGUUACUAGGUAAAUUGACAAUAAAUAAAAGUUUGCAUCAAUGUCAAAAAGACGACAGAAUAAGCGUGAGACAGACCCACGUUCUAUUGCAAAGUAUUAUUGCAAACAAAAAGCAGAUCAAAGUGGUUUCCAGAAAUUAUUCAUCAAUGACAACAUAGGUUUUGGAGUGUUUGCUACAAAAACAUUUCAACAUGGUGAAUUUCUUCUUGAGUAUGCUGGAAAUUGUAUUAGUAAAGUUGAGGG